GACGCUGGGGCAUGCCUACCAUGCUAGUCGUACGGAGAGUGGGGCGACUCACUCUCGGUGGCAAACGGGAGAGUAACACGUGAAUAACCUGCCUUUGAGAAGGAGAUAACUGUCCGAAAAGAUAGCUAAUACCCUAUAUUGCCUUUUGUCACUAAGGCAAAAGGUGAAAGCAAGGCUGUCAAAGGCUUCGGCUCAAAAAGGGGUUCGCGUCCUAUCAGGUAGUUGGUGGGGUAAUGGCCUACCAAGCCAAUGACGGGUAGCUGGUCUUAAAGGAUAAUCAGCCACAGUGGGACUGAAACACGGCCCGCACCCCUACGGGGGGCAGCAGUGGGGAAUCGUGGGCAAUGGGCGCAAGCCUGACCCCGCAAUGCCGCGUGAGGAAAAAAGCCCUUCGGGGUGUAAACCUCUGUCAAACGGGAAAAUGGGACUAGGGGCUAAUACCUCCUAGUCUUGACGGUACCAUCAAAGGAAGGGACGGCUAACUACUUGCCAGCAGCCGCGGUAAU
rnacentral:rRNA from 1 species